rnacentral:rRNA from 1 species
AUAGCGGAGGAAAAGAAACCAACAGGGAUUGCCCAGUAACGGCGAGUGAAGCGGCAACAGCUCAAAUUUGAAAUCUGGCCCCUCCCACGGGGGGGCCCGAGUUGUAAUUUGCAGAGGAUGCUUCUGGCGAGGUGCCUUCCGAGUUCCCUGGAACGGGACGCCACAGAGGGUGAGAGCCCCGUCUGGUCGGACACCGAGCCUCUGUGAAGCUCCUUCGACGAGUCGAGUAGUUUGGGAAUGCUGCUCUAAAUGGGAGGUAUAUGUCUUCUAAAGCUAAAUACCGGCCAGAGACCGAUAGCGCACAAGUAGAGUGAUCGAAAGAUGAAAAGCACUUUGAAAAGAGGGUUAAACAGUACGUGAAAUUGUUGAAAGGGAAGCGCUCACGACCAGACCUGGUCCCGGCGAAUCACCCGGCGUUCUCGCCGGUGCACUUCGGCGGGCUUCCAGGCCAGCAUCAGUCCGCGCCGGGGGACAAAGGCGGCGGGAACGUGGCUCCCCAGGGAGUGUUAUAGCCCGCCGCGCAAUGCCCCGGGGGCGGACUGAGGACCGCGCGUCUACCGCAAGGAUGCUGGCUAGUGGUCGUCAGCGACCCGUCUUAACACGGGAACAAAGCCGGGAUCCUUGGGUAGAGCGCGGUCCUCAGUCGCCCCCGGGGCAUUGCGCGGCGGGCUAUAACACUCCCUGGGGAGCCACGUUUCCGCCGCCUUUGUCCCCGGCGCG